AGAGUUUGAUCCUGGCUCAGAACGAACGCUGGCGGCAGGCUUAACACAUGCAAGUCGAGCGCCCCGCAAGGGGAGCGGCAGACGGGUGAGUAACGCGUGGGAACAUACCCUCCGGUUCGGAAUAGCUCAGGGAAACUUGGAUUAAUACCGGAUACGGUCGAGAGGCGAAAGAUUUAUCGCCGGAGGAUUGGCCCGCGUUCGAUUAGCUAGUUGGCGGGGUAAAGGCCCACCAAGGCGACGAUCGAUAGCUGGUCUGAGAGGAUGAUCAGCCACAUUGGGACUGAGACACGGCCCAAACUCCUACGGGAGGCAGCAGUGGGGAAUAUUGGACAAUGGGCGCAAGCCUGAUCCAGCCAUGCCGCGUGAGUGAUGACGGCCUUAGGGUUGUAAAGCUCUUUCGCUAGGGACGAUAAUGACGGUACCUAGACAAGAAGCCCCGGCUAACUUCGUGCCAGCAGCCGCGGUAAUACGAAGGGGGCUAGCGUUGUUCGGAAUUACUGGGCGUAAAGCGCGUGUAGGCGGGCGAAUAAGUCAGGGGUGAAAUGCCAAGGCUCAACCUUGGAACUGCCUUUGAUACUGUUCGUCUUGAGUCCGGGAGAGGUGAGUGGAACUGCGAGUGUAGAGGUGAAAUUCGUAGAUAUUCGCAAGAACACCAGUGGCGAAGGCGGCUCACUGGCCCGGAACUGACGCUGAGACGCGAAAGCGUGGGGAGCAAACAGGAUUAGAUACCCUAGUAGUCC
rnacentral:rRNA from 1 species